ensembl:lincRNA
GCUACGUCCAACUCCGUGGCUGCAGGUGACUGGCAGCCUGGUGACUGAAAGCCACUCCUGCCUGCAGACCUGUCGGUGCGAACCCCCCGUGGACGACCGCUGACCGCCCUCCCAGCCUCGCCUCCGUUCACUCACCCAUUCCCACACCCCUGACCGGUGAGUGCGUCUGCUCUUCGGGUUUCCCCUGAACCAGUCGUAGCAUUUACCUGUUUCUCCUAAAUUGAUUUAAGAGUAGAAUAAAAUCUUUAGCACAUUCUUUUAAAAAAAAUCUAUGAAUGACAGUCAUGAUUUUUAAAGAAAUAAACCAAAUAGAAGACAGUCAUGAUUUUGCCUCUGUUUUUUUUUUUUGAGACAGAGUCUCACUCUGUUGCCCGGGCUAGAGUGCCGUGGCGUCAGCCUAGCUCACAGCAACCUCCAACUCCUGGGCCCAAGCGAUCCUCCUGCCUCAGCCUCCCGAGUAGCUGGGACUACAGGCACGUGCCACCAUGCCUGGCUUAUAUUUUCUAUGUAUAUUUUUAGUUGUCCAGCUAAUUUCUAUUUUUCUAAUUUUCUAAAUUUCUAAUUUUCUAUUUUUUUUUUUUUAGUAGCGACGGGGUCUCCCUCUUGCUCAGGCUGGUCUCAAACUCCUGAGCUCAAAGGAUCCUCCCGCCUCGGCCUCCCAGAGCGCUAGGAUUACAGGCGUGAGCCACCGCACCUGGCUGAUUUUGCCUCUUUCUGAAAAGUAUUUUUUAAAAGAAUGGCAGUGAGAGACUCACCAGGCGGAAGGCAUGCGCGUUCCCAGCGUGGCCGCAGAGCGACAAGUAGCCGGACGCGGAUCCCUAGGGGAGUGGACCCCUGUGAGCUGCUGAGAGGGGCGGACUCCUGAGCCCCCACCCAGGAAGCGCGGAGGCAGCUGGAGGAUAUUGAAGAACUGCUCAGAAUCGAUGGCCGGGUGUCGGCACAACUGGGGAUUUCAUGGCGAGGUAUCACCUUCCGGCUGGGAGGAGCAGGGGCUCCGUGCUCGGGCCCCGCCUGUCACCUGCUCUGUGUGUCGGGACGCUCAGCCGCCCUCGCAGCCAGCGGGCGGGGAGGGGAAGAGUUCCCGCCACUGUCUCCUGAGAUGGGACAUACAGGAGACACACGGGCCUUGCCCGACGCUACAGCGGCAGCCUGCUGUGCCUGGUGUUCGGAAGGGGCUGAACACCCUGGGGACCAGCAGUCAGCUUCCCUUUUCCAGCCCUCCCAGCACUCGGCUGCUCAGACAGGGAAUCUCGUCUCUAGCUGGGGCCUCCGGAACUCCGGGUCCUCCAGCCGUCUUCCUGAAAACCGCAUGUAUAUGCAAGUGUCAGUGACUCACGCAGCUUAAAUGCAGCUUCGCCACUCCCUCUCCGGCUGCCAGGAGAAUCUUCCGAGGGGUUUGUGUGUGAAGGUGAUGACCAUUGUUUUUUUAAGAAUGAUACAAUGCUCAUGCUCAAACGAAACAACAAGCAAUAUGGCAAAGUACAAAGAAGGAAGUAACAAAAAGUAACAAGAUUCCUCCCAUCAGGCCAGCUUCAUGACUGCAGAAUUUUUUUUUUUUUUGGAGACACAGUCGCGCUCUGCUGCCCAGGCUGGAGUGCAGUGGUGCGAUCACAGCUCACUGCAGCCUCCAACUCCUCUGAUCCUCCCCCCUCAGCCUCCCAAGCAUCUGGGACUACAGGUGUGCACCACCACGCCUGGCUAAUCUUUUAAAUUUCUUUGUAGAGAUGGGGCCUUGCUAUGUUGCCCAGGCUAGUCUCACCUCAACCUCCCAAAGUGCCAGGAUUACAGACGUGGGCCACCGUGCCUGGCCUAGGGCAGGAUUCUAACUGCUCUGUUCUCUGCUGUAUUCCUAGCACCUAGAACUUCCUGGCACAUUUAAUAAAGCCCACUCUCCGGUGUUAACAUUUUGCAAAUGUCCUACGUACACAAAGAAGUUUGGAGAGAUAAAGAGGGUUAGGUGGUGUUGGGCUCAGAAAGCCAUACCCCAGAGACUGGCGCUCAGAUGUGCUGAGAGGCCUUAGAAGCUGCCUCAGAAUCAGGGUCCUUUAGCUUUCUUUUUUUUGAGACAGAUUCUCACUCUGUCACCUGAGCUAGUGUGCCGUGGUGUCAGCUCAGCUCACAGCAACCUCCAAACUCCCGUGGUUCAAGCGAAUCCUCCUCCUCAGCCUCCGGAGUAGCUGGACUACAGGCAUGCGCCACCAUGCCCGGCUUUUUUUUUUUUUCUAUUUUCAGUUGCCAGCUAAUUUCUUUCUAUUUUUAGUAGAGACGGGGUCUCGCUCUUCCUCAGGCUGGUUUCGAACUCCUGACCUCAAGGGAUCCUCUCACCUUGGCCUCCCAGAGUGCCGAGGGACUACAGUGGGAUUACAGGCAUGAGCCACCCCACCCCGCCCCUUCAGCCUAGUCUUGUUCCCUCCCUGCCCCCAAGUAAAGGGAGGGACUGUCUCUGGAAUUUCCUUAUCUGACUAAGAAAGCUUCUUCGUGGGAAGGAAAAAAACCCCACACAAUUACUUAAGAUCCCCUCCCUAGGAAUUCCACCAAAUAACCAGGAAAGAUCAACCACCCAGAAGAGAGUGAGUGUUGGCCCAGACAGACUUUCCAUCUCUUCUUCUGAAGCUGCUCCAAGAUUACCUGGGGGCCGUCAGCUGCUUAAUAAGAGGAGCUUUGUUCCCCAGCCGUUCUGCCCCUCACCUUCCUGUCACUGGCCCAAGCUAGCCCCCACAGAGAACCCCGCUACCCACUGUGUGAGCACUGGGCCUGUCUGCCUCCUCCACCCCCGCUCCCCUCUGCCCAGUGAAGAGGGAAACAAACAGCCCCUCUGGGGGGUCAUCUUUUGUAUGACUCCCAUGCACGAGUGCACAUAAUAAACCUGCCAUGCUUUUCUCUUGUCAACCUGGUUUUUGUGAUAGGGGCGAGGGGAGGAAAGGGAUCACCCCAUUUCUGCCCCUACAGUUCAGAAAAGGGAAAUAGGCCCAAAUAAUUUUACAUUGCCCAGGCUGGUCUCGAACAUGUGGCUUCAAGCAAUCAUCCCGCCUCAACCUCUAAAAGCAGUGGGAUUACUGGCCAGAGCCAUCCUUCCUGGCCCCAAAUAACUUUAAAAGAUGGGAAUGUACCAUAUGUGUUCUAUUUCAAACUAAAAGUAUUUAAUUUUACUUGAGUUUAAUAGAAAAAAAAGACAGAAAAAUGGCUGAAUCUUAGAUAAAUAUUUAUUUUCCACAGGAGAUAUUAGUUCAUAAAUGGAUUUCUCUAAGCUUCAAGAAAGAGAGAGGAUAACGAGGGCGCGCGGGCUCAUGCCUGUAACCUAGCACUCUGGGAGCCAAGGCGG